rnacentral:rRNA from 1 species
GACGAACGCUGGCGGCGUGCUUAACACAUGCAAGUCGAACGGAAAGGCCCUGCUUUUGUGGGGUGCUCGAGUGGCGAACGGGUGAGUAACACGUGAGUAACCUGCCCUUGACUUUGGGAUAACUUCAGGAAACUGGGGCUAAUACCGGAUAGGAGCUCCUGCUGCAUGGUGUGGGUUGGAAAGUUUCGGCGGUUGGGGAUGGACUCGCGGCUUAUCAGCUUGUUGGUGGGGUAGUGGCUUACCAAGGCUUUGACGGGUAGCCGGCCUGAGAGGGUGACCGGCCACAAUGGGACUGAGAUACGGCCCAGAAGCCUACGGGAGGCAGAAGUGGGGAAUAUUGCACAAUGGGCGGAAGCCUGAUGCAGCAACGCCGCGUGCGGGAUGACGGCCUUCGGGUUGUAAACCGCUUUCGCCUGUGACGAAGCGUGAGUGACGGUAAUGGGUAAAGAAGCACCGGCUAACUACGUG